GCUGAUAUGGCUCAGUUGGUAGAGCGCACCCUUGGUAAGGGUGAGGUGCCCAGUUCGACUCUGGGUAUCAGCACCA
rnacentral:tRNA from 1 species